GACGAACGCUGGCGGCGUGCCUAACACAUGCAAGUCGAGCGGGGAUUUAAGUGGAAGUUCUUCGGAAUGGAGAUUUAAAUUCUAGCGGCGGACGGGUGAGUAACGCGUGAACAAUCUGUCCCGGACAGGGGGAUAACACUUGGAAACAGGUGCUAAUACCGCAUAAGACCACGGCCUCGCAUGGGGCUGAGGUAAAAGGAGCAAUCCGGUUCGGGGUGAGUUCGCGUCCGAUUAGCUAGUUGGUGAGGUAACGGCCCACCAAGGCGACGAUCGGUAGCCGGCCUGAGAGGGUGAACGGCCACAUUGGAACUGAGAGACGGUCCAAACACCUACGGGAGGCAGCAGUGGGGAAUAUUGGGCAAUGGGCGAAAGCCUGACCCAGCAACGCCGCGUGAGGGAAGAAGGUUUUCGGAUUGUAAACCUCUGUCCUAUGGGACGAAGGAAGUGACGGUACCAUAGGAGGAAGCCCCGGCUAACUACGUG
rnacentral:rRNA from 1 species